rnacentral:rRNA from 1 species
GAUGAACGCUGGCGGCGUGCCUAAUACAUUCAAGUCGAGCGAACGGACGAGAAGCUUGCUUCUCUGAUGUUAGCGGCGGACGGGUUAGUAACACGUGGAUAACCUACCUAUAAGACUUGGAUAACUUCGGGAAACCGGAGCUAAUACCGGAUGAUAUUUUGAACCGCAUGGUUCAAAAGUUAAAUACGGUCUUGCUGUCACUUAUAGAUGGAUCCGCGCUGCAUUAGCUAGUUGGUAAGGUAACGGCUUACCAAGGCAACGAUGCAUAGCCGACCUGAGAGGGUGAUCGGCCACACUGGAACUGAGACACGGUCCAGACUCCUACGGGAGGCAGCAGUAGGGAAUCUUCCGCAAUGGGCGAAAGCCUGACGGAGCAACGCCGCGUGAGUGAUGAAGGUCUUCGGAUCGUAAAACUCUGUUAUUAGGGAAGAACAUAUGUGUAAGUAACUGUGCACAUCUUGACGGUACCUAAUCAGAAAGCCACGGCUAACUACGUG